rnacentral:lncRNA from 1 species
GUUUUCUCGUAAGGAAGGUUUAUUCAUUUUUGCUUAUUUCUUUCCUGAGAAUAAAGCUCUGAAAGCAUGAGUAUUGUUCCUUAUAUGUAUUUAGACUACGGAUGCUCGUUUUGGGAAGUUCUCCCGAACUGGAUCAAGUAGGCAAAAUAUUCCCAAUAUCCGGCUAUUGAAGAAAUGUUCACCCCGCACAAGAAGCCUUAUAAUUGUAGGUCAGUAUUUUCUCUCAAGAUAAUCAGAUUUAAUCUUAACUAUUUGCGUCCCACGUGUUAUGUACUUUUUCUCUAGAAAAUAAUGAGCUCACCCACAGAUAUUAGUAUGAAACGUGCUUUUUAUGUUGAGAUGAAUAAGCUUUUACUAAGCGAUUAUUGUUCAAAUGUCCAUCAAAUUUUUCUAAAAACUUGUCCAGAAACUUCAUAAUUAUUUAAAAUACGUAUUUUCCUCUUCAACAAUCAUUUAUUUCUAAAACUCUUCCUGAUAUUCAAGAAUGAAAUAUUAGUACACGAGUUCCUUGUCACCCUUUUACAAAUUUGGUUUAUAGGGUUUCUAUUUCAUGGAGAAUCAGUUGGGGGUGAAAAACAGAUGUGCAAUUAAGAUUGAAAAAUCCAAACUCAAUAUCUGGGAGUUCCCAUCAAAAAACGGGUAUGUUCUUCUUCACUAACUGUUUUAAGGGCAAGUUUGUAAUUUCCAGAUGCUUUAAUUAGCCUCUGAGUGAAUUUUUUUCGACUUACAUUGCUAAAUAAUUGAUGGCAAUGUCUUAGGCAGUGCCAGAUGAUUCGGCGAAUGGUUAAUGAAGAUUAUUGCAAUAAAAUUGCAAGCUAAAGUGGCAGCCAUCUGCAACACAGUUUUACAGAAAGUUGUUGAAGCUCAAUAGCCAAUUACACAGUAAUUAUUUAAUGAGGUUAGAUUUGGUAUGGGAAUUUGUGUAUGCAAUUUUACCCAAAAUUGUUGCAGCUUAUUUUUUAUUUUAUUUUUCAUUUUUCUGGAUUAAAGUCUACUUUGAAUUUGGGAUAUCCACACUUCAUGAUAGAGUUCAAAUUUUUUAUACCUUUUCUUCCCCUUUUUUUAAUAAAUCACUCUAAUAAUAGUCUCUGGCUUUUGAUCUAACUGAGACAAGGAUUUCUGUUGUGAUUCAAUAACAUCUGAG